GCACUUUAGCACGCGUUCGCUGCCACGCGUAACGGGAGCCAGCGGCGAUGGCCAAAGGCGUCUGCCAACCGAGUCCACGCAGUUCCAUCUAUACACCACUUCACGUCGUUCACAUGCUGGCUGAACGGCCACGACCGGCCACGCUGUAUGGCCCUAUGGCUCCUUGCGGAACGCGUCUGCCGACAUAGGUUUGAUAAGACGAGACAUGCGCUGUCAUGGGAACGGCACGAUUCAGCUAUAUGCUCGGCUGUGCGGCCGCAUCUGUUGCCCUGUGGCUGAGACUAAGCAAGGUUCAGUGCCAAUAAGUUUUUGGAGCGGCGUACUCUGUUGGUUUGCUCGUUUGCGCGCCAUGCAGUCGGACUGAUCGGACUGUGUAGUUCCUGCUUAAUAUGCUAAAUGUGAAGGUCACGGUAACAUGCAUAUGGCCAGUGUGGAGCCCAGUACGAACGUCUGGCACCGAGGCUACGAAAAGCGACGCUUUGCGCCGUCCACGUUUUCGACCAACGCUGUUCCAUGGAAAAGAAUCAAGCUUCGCCCGCGCCUCCGACUACGUCGAAGUCGUUUUGCGCUGUCCAUAGCCACAAGGUGGUCAGUUCAUCCCGAACAUUGGGUUCUUGUGCUGCGAUAUUUACGCCGAAAGACCAGAAAUGACAGCGUUUUCUUUCCUAAAAGAAGAAAGGCAUUGAGGAUGGAUGAUGCGCUUCCAGGAAUACGUAGAGCGACCUCGACGUCGACCGUCACGGUGUACGGAGCAUCUCAUGGGAAGCUCCCAUGCACGUUGCCAAUUGACUGUCACGGGACGGUCUUGGAACGGGCCUGCGUCGCUGCUGCGAGAAGACCUUCACCGCGUGACCAAGACCUGUUUUGCCGGGGACGGCGACAUGGUCGGGGAUCGACGCCGCAAUAUGCGGAUGCGACCGAGAUACAGAGGCGCGACGGCGAGCCGCUCUUGGAGGCGUGUCAGGAGCGCGACGGUGUCGGCAAUGCGAUUCCACGACUCCACGGACGCACUUUCGCUUGGUUUACCUUGCAUUUUACAUUCCCACCGGAGCACGAGAUUAUACAACUUCGACCGCACACAUCUUCACAUCGGAAAGUCAUUCAAGCGAUAGCGUAGUUACCGCGCUUAACCGGCCCGGCCGAAGUCUUUUGGUUAACUUAUAUUCGUGCUUUCUUGUUUUUGUUGAACUCGCGCGUUCUCCUCGUCCAAUAUUUCUAACCACCUCAUCCCCACUGCUGGCAAAAUGUGGCGGUCACGAUUAUUACGUGUAAAUAACUUCAUGGCCUUUCUUCACGUCUCUUUUCCCUCUCACUCUUUUUUUCGUUGUGGAAAACAAGAUUUCCUUUUAAAAGACAUUAAGGCUUGAGUAUGUGUUCAGUAGGAUGAACAAAUUUGAAAUCAAUCAAUUAAUAGAUUAUUCGACGAACAAUGUAUCUAUCAGAGGCUCUGAGAGUAUAUAAAGAAAUGAACGAACAAGCA